CCUACGGGAGGCUGCAGUGAGGAAUAUUGGUCAAUGGACGUAAGGCUGAACCAGCCAAGUAGCGUGAAGGAUGAAUGCCCUAUGGUUUGUAAACUUCUUUUAUAGGGGAAUAAAGGUAUCCACGUGUGGGUAUUUGUAUGUACCAUAUGAAUAAGCAUCGGCUAACUCCGUGCCAGCAGCCGCGGUAAUACGGAGGAUGCGAGCGUUAUCCGGAUUUAUUGGGUUUAAAGGGUGCGUAGGUGGUUUGUUAAGUCAGCGGUGAAAGUUUGUGGCUCAACCAUAAAAUUGCCGUUGAAACUGGAAGUCUUGAGUAUGGUAGAGGUAGGCGGAAUGCGUGGUGUAGCGGUGAAAUGCAUAGAUAUCACGCAGAACUCCGAUUGCGAAGGCAGCUUACUAAGCCAUAACUGACACUGAAGCACGAAAGUGUGGGUAUCAAACAGGAUUAGAUACCCGAGUAGUC
rnacentral:rRNA from 1 species